GACGAACGCUGGCGGCGUGCUUAACACAUGCAAGUCGAACGGUAAGGCCCUUCGGGGUACACGAGUGGCGAACGGGUGAGUAACACGUGGGCGAUCUGCCCUGCACUUCGGGAUAAGCCUGGGAAACUGGGUCUAAUACCGGAUAGGACUCCUGGCUUCAUGGUUGGGGGUGGAAAGCUUUUGCGGUGUGGGAUGGGCCCGCGGCCUAUCAGCUUGUUGGUGGGGUAAGGGCCUACCAAGGCGACGACGGGUAGCCGGCCUGAGAGGGUGACCGGUCACACUGGGACUGAGAUACGGCCCAGACUCCUACGGGAGGCAGCAGUGGGGAAUAUUGCACAAUGGGCGCAAGCCUGAUGCAGCGACGCCGCGUGAGGGAUGACGGCCUUCGGGUUGUAAACCUCUUUCAGCUAUGACGAAGCGCAAGUGACGGUAGUAGCAGAAGAAGGACCGGCCAACUACGUGCCAGCCGCCGCGGUAA
rnacentral:rRNA from 1 species